UACAGAGGUCCCAAGCGUUGUUCGGAUUCACUGGGCGUAAAGGGUGCGCAGGCGGUCGGGUAAGUCUGACGUGAAAUCUCCGGGCCUAACCCGGAAACUGCGUCGGAUACUAUCCGGCUAGAGGAUUGGAAGGGAGACUGGAAUACUUGGUGUAGCAGUGAAAUGCGUAGAUAUCAAGUGGAACACCAGUGGCGAAGGCGAGUCUCUGGACAAUUCCUGACGCUGAGGCACGAAAGCCAGGGGAGCAAACGGG
rnacentral:rRNA from 1 species